GGCAGGCCUGCAGGAGGUGCCCCCCACACCCCUUGGUUCACAGCAGCCCUGCUCCCAGCCCUGGAAGGGAUUCCAGCUUUGGGUGUCUCCCUCCUGUUUCCAGCUCCACGUCUGGCUUCAGACACAAAGCCGAGCUAUUUCUGACGCGCAGCAUCGGAACCAAACACCUCCAGACGGAGCAAUGCUGAAAAAAAACCCCCCAAACCCCCCCUUAUCACCUUUUUUUUACACCAAACCUCCUUGCACUUGACCCACAAAGCGCCCAAGGUUUGGGGGUGCUGCAGCACCCCGUUUCUUCACAUCGAAGGCAAUAAGAAACAUUUGCCAGCUCCUUGGAGGCUGACAACAGUCCGUUAUCCCCCAAAUCUGAGCUGGAGUGAAUCAGGGAUCACUGCGGGACACCUCCCACCCGCUGCAGGUUUAAUAUACCCCCACCUCGGGGGGGUCCAGCACCCAGGAUCCCAUCCUGCGCAUCCACGUCUGCUGCCGCCCCUCCCCGGCGCGGGUGGGGGCCGCUGACUCAUCUUCCCACCGUGUUCCCCCCCCCCAACCCGCCUCCACCGGCGGAGGGAGUUCACCGGGCGGCUCCGAGGGCUGCAUUGCAGACCCAGGCACGCAGCAGACAAAGGGGGACGCGGCGGCGCCCGCAGGCUCCGUCCGCACAAAGAGCUGGUGCAGCACCGAGCCCAGCCUCCGUCCCUUCCAUCCAGCCUCGGCGGGAGGAAUGGACCAGUGAUCCCAGCGGAGAUGCUCUUCACUGGGGGGUGACACACAAGACAGGAGGGUUUUGGGUUCUCCCCCCCCCCCCCUUGCCUUUUCUGGAUAUUUCUUGUUGCUAAACUCCCUUUUCCCCUCUUUGAAGCUCUAAAAUCCAUUGUCCACAACAUCCGCCACUGUUAAAUGAUCCGCUGCUUGUUAAUGCAGAAAGCCCGAAGAUGCUGGACACCAUCAGCAGCCAGUACGAUUCCUUCAUCUACUGGAGGAUGCCGAUCCCCCAGCUGGACGUGGCGGAGCUGGAGGGUCUGGGGCUCAGCGACGUGGCCCUCUACAAACCCAAAGGAGGGCUGGGCAAGCUCCUCGGCGAGCAGGAUCAGGCCCGUCAGGACAUCUCCCAGGAAGAGGACAGUCUGCUGCAGUUCAACAGCUUUAACUUCUGGAGAGCUCCUAUCGCCAGCAUUAGCUCCUUAGAUUUCGACCUAAUUUGAAGCCCUCCUUUCCGCCCCUCCUCACCCCCCCUUGCCCUCUCCCUCUCUGCUAGGCAUGUCAGGAUUCGGUUUUGUCCUCGGUUGGAGGUUGUGUUGUCGCCAGGCGGUUUUUGACAUCGUUAAUUCACAUUAAUGAAACGGUUCACCCUGGCCCUGGCAAGAAAUGAGCUCCCCACAAAGCUUCACCCUUUCUCCACCCUUCUCCCUCUUUUCUUCCCUUCUUGCACUAGCGCAGUGGUGCGAGCAGGGGGUAACGGGACAGGGGGCAAAUACAAGGCGAGGGGACAGAAACAAGCCACCCCGUUGCCCCACGUCCGCGUGCCAGCGGGUUGCGGAGGUGCCGGGGGGUUCUGCCAGCGCCCUGCAACCCUGUGGUGGUGUGACCACGGGCCGUCCCGGGCUCGGGGACAAGCGGUUGGGCUAAUUUGUGAUGGGCUUUUUUAAGAAACUCAUUUGUGCCAAGGGAACAGCGCAGAAACUGCUGGGAAUAGCCUUCGUUUUGCAGAAAGCAUUGCUCCUGCUCCUCUCCCCGGGACACAGACCCUCUGCGCUCCCCCUUAGCCCAGUUUCUCCAAAAGCUUAACCUAUCCCCUUAACAUUCCCUUAACCCUCGGGAAUGCCAGGUUGGAAGAGGCAGGGAGUGUCUAGGGCAUGAGCACAAACCUCAUUCUUGAAAGAAAUCAUCUCUUUAAGGCUUGAGCUCAAGCAGGAGAAAUGGCAGCCAGGAGGAUAAAUACAUGUGGAAACGCUCCAGCCUUGCUUGGUGGGGUAAGGGCUGGGUGUUCCCUGCCCAAAAUGUGCUUUUUUCUCCUCCAUGUGCUUUAUCCCAAGUGUGCUGGGAGCCGGGUGGGUAACAAGGGCUGAGCUGCAAGAUAAGGUGGAGAGUUUAGUUUGCUCUUACCCCAGGAUGAAAACGUUUCUGGUUCCCCUCCCAAUCAUUCCACCCCUUUAAAACAUCAACAGCAGCAACGCUGCAUUCACCCGAGUGGAAGCCUGGCCUCCUCCUCGGGGAGGUUUUCACCUGCGCUCCCCCCCAGGAUGAAGCUUCUUCCUGAGCAUCCUGUCAAAAUGAGGAACAAUAUCCCCACCCCUGGAUCGUGUUUUGCUUUUAAACAGUUGUGGGGUUUGGCCCCCCAAGUGGGAGAGUGAGCGCAGCUGGUUUGUCUUCUUGACUGUGGUUUCCUUCGAGGGGAGGGUUUGAUUGGGGUGAUGUGGAACAUUUCAAGUUGUCCUAAGAGCUUGGGGGGGGGGAGGCUGAGGCAGCACCUAAAAGGUGCCCCAAAAAGGAGGAAUAUAUUGGAAAAAUCCGCACGUUGCCAUAAGAAGGUGGUGCAGGUCCCCUGUAACCUCCAGAAAUAACCCAGACUGUGAACCAUGUAAAACCAGAGGUGACAAAUGUACGAUCUCCUGUGCAGAGCUGUGAUUUCUGUGUUCCCAGCUGGGAAACCCCAUAGUAUUUAUUAUGAAACUUGAAAUAAAAAUAUUUAAAGACGUGCACUUUCCUGUGGAGACAUUC